ensembl:lncRNA
CUCCUGCCCACAUCUACCCUCCACGUCAAUCACCCUCAUUAAUUCCCGCUGGAAAGGAUCACACAGGAGAAGUUCAUCAACUGCUGCUUGGAAAAGGCUGGAGGGCAGGGAAUGGUGUAGAGGGGGAAAGGGCUUGUCCUUGCUGGAGGGGAUUGGGGGCUCUGCUCCUCCUGACCUCCAAGGGGAGCUGAACUGAGCUGAGCUAUCCUUUCUAUCUUCUCAGACCAGUUUACCCCUUCUCUCCAGUGAAAACUCCACUCAACUUGUGAGCUGAUAUGCACCUGUCCUGGCCCCACCUUGGCUGAGAGGUGGCUCCCAAUCUCUGAGGGAGACAAGCCCUUCGCAGAAAGUGCCCAAGAAUUAAUGGGAAUGGGGAAGCUCAGUCCCACUCCUGGCUACUACCAGGCAACCCAAUAGGGCACUGCUUAGCUGCCCCGGGGUGUGGAGGUGCGGGUAGUGAUUCUGUGACUGUGGGAGACACAGGGGGAUCCAGAUGGAAGCACUGUUCCUGAAAACAAACCUAAGGAAACUUCUGGAGUCUUUGAAGGCUGAGCACCCAGCACGGCACCUGGCACACAGGCUAAAUGGUGGCACGUGGAAUAAAUGGAUGAGGUUUAAUGCUGAUUGGACCAUUAGCAUCUCCAGAGCUACAUGCCUCUCCCCUCGGUGGCUGUGGGUGUGGAGACUCAGCAAAGCCUGAAGAAUGAAAACAGUGGGCACUCAGAAAAGAGGAUGGCCAGGGAGGGGCCGUAGGACGCCAGUCACACUCCUGAGGACUUCAAAAGAUGGCUGUCCUUUCUGUCAGCUGGCGAAAAACUCAUUUCCCCUCACCCUCACCCUCUCCUCUGCCUGUCUUAGAGGCCUGUUUGUUUUCUUAUUUGUACUGCCUAGGGUUCAUGCAGCUCACCAGCUGCACCCACCAGAAAGAGGCCUGCAAAGCCACUCCAUCCCCAAGCCAUGCUGUAGUGUGCAUUCCUGCUCACCACAGAGAACCCCCGUCAAUGGAUAGAGUGCUGAACCAGUACAGACACAUGGUUGCCCAAGCGUGCACACACACACC